rnacentral:tRNA from 1 species
CAAGAAAAGGUCAGGAUAGC